rnacentral:rRNA from 1 species
AGUGAACGUUGGCGGUAGGCCUAACACAUGCAAGUCGAACGGCAGCACAGUAAGAGCUUGCUCUUACGGGUGGCGAGUGGCGGACGGGUGAGGAAUACAUCGGAAUCUACUUUUUCGUGGGGGAUAACGUAGGGAAACUUACGCUAAUACCGCAUACGACCUACGGGUGAAAGCAGGGGAUCUUCGGACCUUGCGCGAUUGAAUGAGCCGAUGUCGGAUUAGCUAGUUGGCGGGGUAAAGGCCCACCAAGGCGACGAUCCGUAGCUGGUCUGAGAGGAUGAUCAGCCACACUGGAACUGAGACACGGUCCAGACUCCUACGGGAGGCAGCAGUGGGGAAUAUUGGACAAUGGGCGCAAGCCUGAUCCAGCCAUACCGCGCGGGUGAAGAAGGCCUUCGGGUUGUAAAGCCCUUUUGUUGGGAAAGAAAAGCAGCAGGUUAAUACCCCGCUGUUCUGACGGUACCCAAAGAAUAAGCACCGGCUAACUUCGUG